rnacentral:lncRNA from 1 species
CUAAAGUAAAACAUUCCUGAUUGCUUAAUAUUUAUCUCGAGUAAAUUGGCCUCUGGUGCCAGAGAAAACAGUCUUUGGGUUCAGCAGGUCCCGAGGCAAAGAAACUUUAUUACGUUUUGGGCAGUAUCUAUCAAACACUGCCAGGUGCAGUGCUAUAUGCCUAACCUGAAUCUUCCCGGCAGAUGGGGGCCUAAACUCGAAAGCAUGCAGCUGAGGAUGAAGGCCAUGAUAGUCUGUUUUUCAUCAAAGGCUUGAGAUCACAGCAGCAGCAUGGAGCUGGAAGAACAAAAGAAGUUUGGGGCUCUGAAACAAACUGGGAGGGUAAGACAAAAGUGCAGCUGAAGAACUUGGAGAGCCGCUUGAGAAGGAGGAAAAGAUCAGGGAAGGAGGAAGUACACGUCCCCAUGCAGGGGAUGUGGAGUUGCACUCUCAUCUUGUGUGCUGCAGGAAGAGCAUCCAGCUCCAAAGCUUAUACACCAUGGGCAAGACGAAGGAAAAUUCCAGUUCUGAAUUUGCAGCCAGAAUUCAGGAACCAGAGGAAGGCGCUCAGGAGGUCAUACCUUUCAGAAGAGGUGCUCCAGCCCUUAUGGUCACGUUGAUGAGGUGCUGAUGGAGAGGUGGCCAUGUCACACUGCUGCCUGGGCCAGGAGCAUCCUACAGGUUUACACCAAUGCAAAUUGCUCAUCUAGGACGGGUGUUUGGUUUUUGUUUUUUUCUGUGGAAAAACUGUGGAAAGUCAUAAAGCUACAGGAUAAACCAGCAGGCUUGCAUGAUUAUGGCAGCACCUGCUCUGUCCAGGCUGGCACAGAGGCACCCGGAGGAGCAGCAUCCCCUCACACCUCAUUUCUUCAGAAACGGGGUGAGCGUGGAAGAGAAGGGGACACCAUGGUGGCAGUGCAGAGCCAGGGCAGAGAACGUUUGCUGAUGCGUUUGUGCAGGAGAAUAUCGGUCUGUUUGGUCAAAUGGGCUUCUGCUGUACAUACAGUGCUGAUGGUGUCCUAAUGGAUGAAGUGGAAAAAUAUUCUUAAAGGGGUACUUUGGCAGACGCAGCCAUUUGGAGUACGGCCUCUCAUGGCUGCAGGCUUGCUGCAAGGUUUGCCUUUCUUUUAAUGAUAAUUCUGUAACAAGAUAUGAAGCUGACGUUUGUUUUACACUUUAUGUAAGUAUUUAAAAGAUCUGAGACCUAUUUUUGCUACGUAUA